rnacentral:RNase_P_RNA from 1 species
GGCAGGGAUGGUUCUUGGCCUCGCCUUUUGGUGAGGAAAGUCUCCACACCUUUCAAAAGCCACUCCGAUAAACAGGAGGUUCAGCAAUGGACGGCUCUGGAACAGAAACGAACGCCCUUUGCGACGCUGUGAGAUUGCGAAGCGCUUGGUGACAGGCGUGAGAUAACCAGUCGAGUUUGCGCAAAGGUGUCGAUGCAACGAUCACCCUGGCUGGUGCAAGUCCUCAGGACGCAUUAGUUGAAUGCCAAGGCGCGCGUUUGCGAAGGUUCAAUGCCUUCAACACUCUUCUUUGACGAGUGUUUCACGCCCGACAAAAUGGAGCUUAUUCCAUCCCUGCC